CUAGCUCAUUCGCUUUUGUUUCGUUAUGCAUCAAAUUACUAAUCCCUGAACUAAAUGGGUGUGAUUUUGAUGGAUCUCUGUGUGUUGGGUACUCGAUUUAAGGGGAAAGAUCGAAACUUUGUACUCAAUUUACCUUAAUUUGAGUGAUGAGGACCUAGGUUUUUUUGCUUUUAUUGAAUUUUAGGGUGAUUGAGAUUUUGGAUGUUUGCUGAUUUAAUGGCUGUUUCAGGUCAGUUUGAGUGCAUUUGCGUUCUUGUUUUCGGAGCUUGUGCAAUACAGCCAAACACAGAAUUGAUGUUGAAGCUGGGUCUGAAAUUUGCUUCUGAGUUUGCAGAUCAGUUCUGUCAUCUGCACCUAUUGUUAUGUUUUUUCAUGGUUCAGUUUGUUCUUCUCGAUAUGGAACUGCUUGCAGCUAUUGGAGGUUUAUUCCCUGCAGCAGGUGCUAAUUAGAGCUGUCUCUAUCAUCCUAAAAGUACUUU